rnacentral:rRNA from 1 species
CGCGGCCUAUCAGCUUGUUGGCGGUGUAACGGACCACCAAGGCUUCGACGGGUAGCUGGUCUGAGAGGAUGGCCAGCCACAUUGGGACUGAGAGACGGCCCAGACUCCUACGGGAGGCAGCAGUGGGGAAUCUUGCGCAAUGGCCGAAAGGCUGACGCAGCGACGCCGCGUGUGGGAUGAAGCAUUUCGGAGUGUAAACCACUGUUGCCCGGGACGAAUAGCUCGAUUAAUCGAGCCUGACAGUACCGGGUGAGGAAGCACCGGCUAACUCCGUGCCAGCAGCCGCGGUAAUACGGGGGGUGCGAGCGUUGUCCGGAAUCACUGGGCGUAAAGGGCGCGUAGGUGGUUUGAUAAGGGUGUGGUGAAAGUCCGGGGCUCAACCCCGGAUCUGCCGUGCCGACUGUCAAACUCGAGGACUGUAGAGGCAGACGGAAUUCCGGGUGUAGCGGUGGAAUGCGUAGAGAUCCGGAGGAAGACCGGUGGCGAAGGCGGUCUGCUGGGCAGUUUCUGACACUGAGGCGCGACAGCGUGGGGAGCAAACAGGAUUAGAUACCCUGGUAGUCCACGCCGUAAACGAUGGGUACUAGGUGCCUGGGGGAGUGACCCUCUGGGUGCCGGCGCUAACGCAGGAAGUACCCCGCCUGGGAGUAC